UACGGAGGGGGCUAGCGUUGUUCGGAAUUACUGGGCGUAAAGCGCGCGUAGGCGGAUCUGCAAGUCGGGGGUGAAAUCCCGAGGCUCAACCUCGGAACUGCCUUCGAUACUGCGGGUCUCGAGUCCGGGAGAGGUGAGUGGAAUUCCUAGUGUAGAGGUGAAAUUCGUAGAUAUUAGGAAGAACACCAGUGGCGAAGGCGGCUCACUGGCCCCGGUA
rnacentral:rRNA from 1 species